rnacentral:lncRNA from 1 species
AUGCUGUGCUGCUUUCCCAGGCCUCGAGGCUGCAGCAAUAGGACCCCAUGCAGGGAAAGCACUUGGGCGCAAGUGAGAGGAUGGAUGGCUAAGUUCCCGUGCUUCAGGCCACUCACCAGGAACUACCUGGCCUUCAGGGGCAGCACAGGGCGGGUCUCACCAGACCCAGAGACCUGGGGACCUGAGAUGAGCAGAAACCCAGGGCAGAUCUCCCUGGACCUGGACACCAGACACUCGGGGCCACCGAGUCCAGGACAGGUCCAGUUAGCCCUGGCCACCACUAUUGGGGCCCAACGGGAGGAGAGCCAGGCAGAGGACUGCAUAGUGAGGAUGGUGCUGGCAGGCACGCAGCACCCCCUGAGGGAGACCCCGGAACAGGACUUCCUGGACAGCCACCCCAUCCACGCAGACUCCCUCCUGGACCCCUCUGGGGCCUGCAUUCCCACCCUGCAGGAGGGGAUGGUGCGAAGGUCCUCCUUUUUUGUCCUCCACUUCUUGGUGGAGUUGUACUCCUAGGAGAAUCCACCAGCUGAACUCCUGGCCCAGCUGGAGCAAGCUGAGCCCACUGAGGCACAGUCCACGGGUGAGGAGGACGGGGUGUGGGCCCGUGGGCAUGAGGGGAGGGAUGGGCCUUUAGACACAGAGACAGCUUCCGGGUGCUGGGGUGACCUGGGAUCACUGAGGCCUCAGCCGUCUGGGAGGACUUCCUGGGGAGGCUUUGUGCACAGAGAUGUCUGAUGGGCAGUGGGGAGGUUUUGCCCUGGGAGGGAACAUGGACAGUUGGUGACUUUUUCUUCCCUUGGAACUGCAGGACCAGCUCCAGCCCCAGCUGAAGUCCCACAUGUGGAGCCCAAGCCAGCUCCACCUGCAGCUUCCUGCCCAGUGCUGGGACCACAGCCAGAGUCCGUGGCAGCCCCUUCACCUGCUGCAGUGCUGGGGCACCCGGUGGUUGCACGGUGGUCGGUGUCACCUCCUGAGCUCCGCCUGGGGCCAGCUCCUGGCCCCCUCCCACUGUUCCCCUCACUUAUGCUGGCUCUUGUUUUGGUAUUUACAAUUGCCCUUAUUUCUUGGAUUUAUACAAAUAAUAGAACUAGCUUUUAAUAAAACUUAAAAUUUUAGUGUUUAAAAGGGUCAGCGUGGUGGCCUGAGGUGCCUUCUCCCUGUGUGGGCCCA